rnacentral:rRNA from 1 species
UUGAACGCUGGCGGCAUGCCUUACACAUGCAAAGUCGAAACGGCAGCACGGGAGCAAUCCUGGUGGCGAGUGGCGAACGGGUGAGUAAUAUAUCGGAACGUGCCCAGUCUGGGGGGAUAACGUAGCGAAAGCUACGCUAAUACCGCAUACGAUCUAUGGAUGAAANCGGGGGAUCGCAAGACCUCGCGCGAUUGGAGCGGCCGAUAUCAGAUUAGGUAGUUGGGUGAGGUAAAGGCUCACCAAGCCGACGAUCUGUAGCUGGUCUGAGAGGACGACCAGCCACACUGGGACUGAGACACGGCCCAGACUCCUACGGGAGGCAGCAGUGGGGAAUUUUGGACAAUGGGCGCAAGCCUGAUCCAGCAAUGCCGCGUGCAGGAUGAAGGCCUUCGGGCUGUAAACUGCUUUUGUACGGAACGAAACGGUGAGCUCUAAUACAGUUUGCUAAUGACGGUACCGUAAGAAUAAGCACCGGCUAACUACGUG